AAUUGCUGUUAGGUUUCCCAAUUCUCGUAAGUUGUUUCAAAUUAGUAACUCUAGUAGCUACUUCUACUAUUAAUUGGAGGACUAAUUUCAAAAUAACUUAAGAAUUGGGGAACCUAAAGCAACU
rnacentral:pre_miRNA from 1 species